CAGCGAGGCGGCGAAGGUAUGCAGCGGGGUGUGAGGCAGCGAAGGCAUGCAGCGCUUUGCCAGGUGGCAAAGGCACACAGCGCUUUGCUAGGCUGCGAUGUGGUGAGGUGCCGAGGCGCCGAAGGACGCAGGCGUUUGCCAGGCGCCGAAGGGACGCAGCGCUUUGCUAGGCGGCAAGGCGUGAGGAGACGAAGCAAUUUGAGAGGCGGUGAGGGGGAAAAGGGACGCAGUGGUGUGCUAGGCCAUGAGGCGGCGAGGCGACGAGCAGAUGCGGCCCUUUGCUUGGAGGCGAAGGAACACAGCGCUUUGCUAGGCGGCGAAGGGAGACGACGCUUUGCUAGGCAGCGAGGCGGCAAAGGGACGAAGCGAUUUGGGAGGCAGUGAAGGAACACGGUGCUUUGGUAGGCGGGGAGGUGGCGAAGGGACAGGGCGCUUUUUUUGGUGGCGAGGGCGAAAAGGGACGCAGUGCUUUCUUAAGCAGCGAGGUGGCAAAGGCACGCUGUGCUCUGCUAGGCAGCGAGGCGUUGAAGGCAGGCAGUUCUUUGCUAAGCACCGAAGGAACACGGCGCUUUGCUUGGCGGUGACGGGACACGGAGCUUUGCUAGGUGGCGAAGGGAGACGACGCUUUGCUAGGCAGCGAGGCGGCGAAAGGGUGACAGCACUUUACUAGGCGGCGAGGGGUUGAAGGGAUGAAGCGCUUUGGUAGGUGGCGAGGUUGCGAAGGGACGAAGCGAUUGGGGAGGCGGCGAAGGCACGCGGCGCUUUGUUUGGCGGCGAGGGCGAAAAGGGACGCAGCGCUUUCUUAGGCGACGAGGCGGCAAAGGCACGCGGAGCUUUGCUAGGCUGCGAGGGGGAGAAUGGACGCAGUGCUUUGCCAGGCGCCGAAGGAACACGGCGCUUUGCUUGGCAGUGAGGCGGCGAAGGCAGACGCAGCAGUUUAGUUUCCGAAGCAGCAAAGAAAGGCAGCGGUUUGCUCGUUUGCGAGGCAGUGAAAGGAUGCAGAGGUUAGUGUGCAAGGCAGCGAAGAGACGCAGCGGUUUGUUCUUUUGCGAGGUAGUGAAAGGAUGCAGCUGUUAGUUAGUGUGCGAGGCAGUGUAGAGACGCAGCAGUUAGUUGGCGAGGCAGCGAAGAGACGGAGAGGUUUGCUUGUCUGCGAGGCAAUGAACAGACGCAGCGGUUUAGUUUGCGAAGCAGCGAAGAAAUGCAGCGGUUUGCUCCUUUGCGAGGCAGUGAAAGGACGCAGCAGUUCAUUAGUCUGUCAAGCAGCGAAGAGACGCAGUGGUUAGGUAGUUUGCGAGGCGGCGAACAGACUCAGUGGUUUGUUAUUUUUGGAAGUCAGCAAAGAGACCCAGCAUUUACUUAGUUUGCGAGGCAGCGAACGUAU
ensembl:lncRNA